AUGAACGCUAGCUACAGGCUUAACACAUGCAAGUCGAGGGGCGAGCAUGAACUUAGCUUGCUAAGUUUGAUGGCGACCGGCGCACGGGUGAGUAACACGUAUCCAACCUGCCGAUGACUCUGGGAUAGCCUUUCGAAAGAAAGAUUAAUACCGGAUGGCAUAAUUCUUCCGCAUGGUAGAAUUAUUAAAGAAUUUCGGUCGUCGAUGGCGGUGCGUCCCAUUAGCUUGUUGGCGGGGUAACGGCCCACCAAGGCGACGAUGGGUAGGGGUUCUGAGAGGAAGGUCCCCCACAUUGGAACUGAGACACGGUCCAA
rnacentral:rRNA from 1 species